UGAAGUGAAGCUACUCAUGGCCUCAAACUACCGAACGAUGCGUUAGAGCUCAACACGACCGGUUGGGUCGUUACAGAAUACUUCUUUGCAUGUCCUGUUAACGUGUGAUGAACAAAUUUGGGAUCUUAUAUUGAGAUUAACAAUAUAAGUUCUUUCAUCUUGUUCACUCUUGUGAAAGUGGCUCUUUGUAGAUUGUAUUGUUAGCUCCAAAUAUUAAUACUCUUUUAAGGUAAUCUUUGUGUAGUCCAGGAAUCAAGAAUGAAUUCUAAUGUAUUGGAUCAAAUUUCUAAGUCAUUUAUAAUCAAUCCAUCUUUGUAAUCGAUGUGAUCAUAACUUCUGUUUGACAUAAGCUUAGGACUGAUAAUUAGUUCUUAUUGUCAAUUGUCACGUUGCCGAGGGUCUUCCGAAAACAGCCUCUCUGUCUUUUUAAAGGCGGGGGUAAGGUCUGCGUACACUCUACCCUCCCCAGACCUCACUUGUGGGACUACAUUGGUAUGUUGUUUUUGUUGUUUCAUAUUUAAUGAUACUGUGAAAUAUUGUAGGACAAAUUUGACAGUGAUGACAUAAAUGAUCAAUGAGAUCAUGUCUUGAAACAUAUUAGAAAGUUAUGGAAUAAUUGGAGAGGAUCGAUGCACAAGAAUAUUAAGUCUAAGCCAUUCUGUUAUGCUCUAAAAGAUGUGCCAAAGGGGGUAGACAAGAGUGAUUGGGAAUGGCUGGUCAAGGAGCAUUUUUUUACUGAAAUAUUUAAGGAGACAAGUACAAGAAACUCGGUCAAUAGGUCUAAGUUGAGUAUGCCUCAUCGUACUGGUAGUAAGCCAAUUAGGGGGAUCAUUUAUGAAUUGGGGGUAAAGAUGGUAAUCCACCAGAUGUGGCAACUAUUUUCUUUGAGACUCGUAAGAAGAAUAACAAGCUUGUUGAACCUGAAACUAAUGAGAAAUAUGAUAAAAUCAAAGAAUUGGUGCAAUCUGAAUCGUCUCUUACAAACAUUGAGGUUGUAUAAAGGUGCUUCGGACCUCAACGAAAGAGUCAUGUAGUUGGAUUUGGUGGUGGGAUAACCGCUAAGGAGUUGAAAGGUGGUAACUCCUCUAAAGCUGCAUUGUUGGGAAAGCUGAAUGCUACUGUAAAAGAAAAUAAAACUCUUAAAGGACGUUUGGAAGGGGUAGAGAGUAAAUAUGAUGAGCCAGGGAGUAAAUACGCACAGCUUGCAAAGAUAGUGUUUGAUCAGCCUUCAUCACCAUCUUCAAGUGAUAAGUAGAUUGAAUCAUAUAACAGAUUAAAAAUUUGAAGUCUGAAGAACCUAUCCUUGAAGAAAGUAUAGAGCAAGUUGAAGUACAAGAGGUUUUUGGUUCGUCAGCGAUAGUUUAAAGACACUGUCUUAUGUAUAUAUAUAUGCUGUAAUUUUUCUUUUUUUUCUUUUUAGGAAUUAUUAAAAAUGAUGAUUAACUCAUCGCACUUUAUGCUUCUAGUUGUCUCCUGACUGGGUUUGCGUUAUUUUUACUUUUCAUUGUUUUAGUAAGAUGGGUUUCUUACAAUUUGGAUUGGUUUCUGGUAAAUAUGAUACUUUAGUUCUUUGUAUUAACAAGAUAUCAAGUAUUUGGUUUA